GUGGUUGUAGCUCAGUGGCAGAGCGCUUGCUUAGCAUGUGUGAGGCACUGGGCUCAAUCCUCAGCACCACA
rnacentral:tRNA from 1 species